ACGAACGCUGGCGGCGUGGAUAAGACAUGCAAGUCGAACGAGAGAAUUGCUAGCUUGCUAAUAAUUCUCUAGUGGCGCACGGGUGAGUAACACGUGAGUAACCUGCCCCCGAGAGCGGGAUAGCCCUGGGAAACUGGGAUUAAUACCGCAUAGUAUCGAAAGAUUAAAGCAGCAAUGCGCUUGGGGAUGGGCUCGCGGCCUAUUAGUUAGUUGGUGAGGUAACGGCUCACCAAGGCGAUGACGGGUAGCCGGUCUGAGAGGAUGUCCGGCCACACUGGAACUGAGACACGGUCCAGACACCUACGGGUGGCAGCAGUCGAGAAUCAUUCACAAUGGGGGAAACCCUGAUGGUGCGACGCCGCGUGGGGGAAUGAAGGUCUUCGGAUUGUAAACCCCUGUCAUGUGGGAGCAAAUUAAAAAGAUAGUACCACAAGAGGAAGAGACGGCUAACUCUGUGCCAGCAGCCGCGGUAAUACAGAGGUCUCAAGCGUUGUUCGGAAUCACUGGGCGUAAAGCGUGCGUAGGCUGUUUCGUAAGUCGUGUGUGAAAGGCGCGGGCUCAACCCGCGGACGGCACAUGAUACUGCGAGACUAGAGUAAUGGAGGGGGAACCGGAAUUCUCGGUGUAGCAGUGAAAUGCGUAGAUAUCGAGAGGAACACUCGUGGCGAAGGCGGGUUCCUGGACAUUAACUGACGCUGAGGCACGAAGGCCAGGGGAGCGAAAGGGAUUAGAUACCCCUGUAGUCCUGGCAGUAAACGGUGCACGCUUGGUGUGCGGGGAAUCGACCCCCUGCGUGCCGGAGCUAACGCGUUAAGCGUGCUGCCUGGGGAGUACGGUCGCAAGAUUAAAACUCAAAGAAAUUGACGGGGACCCGCACAAGCGGUGGAGUAUGUGGCUUAAUUCGAUGCAACGCGAAGAACCUUACCUGGGCUUGACAUGUAAUGAACAACAUGUGAAAGCAUGCGACUCUUCGGAGGCGUUACACAGGUGCUGCAUGGCCGUCGUCAGCUCGUGUCGUGAGAUGUUUGGUUAAGUCCAGCAACGAGCGCAACCCCUGUUGCCAGUUACCAGCACGUGAAGGUGGGGACUCUGGCGAGACUGCCCAGAUCAACUGGGAGGAAGGGGGGACGACGUCAGGUCAGUAUGGCCCUUAUGCCCAGGGCUGCACACGUACUACAAUGCCCAGUACAGAGGGGGCCGAAGCCGCGAGGCGGAGGAAAUCCUAAAAACUGGGCCCAGUUCGGACUGUAGGCUGCAACCCGCCUACACGAAGCCGGAAUCGCUAGUAAUGGCGCAUCAGCUACGGCGCCGUGAAUACGUUCCCGGGUCUUGUACACACCGCCCGUCACAUCAUGGAAGCCGGUCGCACCCGAAGUAUCUGAAGCCAACCGCAAGGAGGCAGGGUCCUAAGGUGAGACUGGUAACUGGGAUG
rnacentral:rRNA from 1 species